rnacentral:rRNA from 1 species
GAGCGGAGAUAUAUGGAGCUUGCUUUAUAUAACUUAGCAGCGAACGGGUGAGUAACACGUAGAUAAUCUAUCCUAUACUGGGGGAUAGCCCGAUGAAAGUUGGAUUAAUACCGCAUAUAGCUAUAUAGUUGCAUGAUUAUGUAGUGAAAGAUUUAUUGGUAUAGGAGGAGUCUGCGGCACAUUAGCUAGUAGGUGAGGUAAAGGCUUACCUAGGCGACGAUGUGUAGCCGGUCUGAGAGGAUGAACGGCCACAAUGGAACUGAGACACGGUCCAUACUCCUACGGGAGGCAGCAGUGGGGAAUAUUGCACAAUGGGGGAAACCCUGAUGCAGCAACGCCGCGUGAGUGAAGAAGGUUUUCGGAUUGUAAAGCUCUGUUAGCAGGGAAGAGGAAGGACGGUACCUGCAGAGGAAGCCACGGCUAACUACGUGCCAGCAGCCGCGGUAAUACGUAGGUGGCAAGCGUUGUUCGGAAUAACUGGGCGUAAAGGAUGCGUAGGCGGUUAAACAAGUUAUAUGUUAAAUAUAUAGGCUUAACCUGUAGAAAGCAUAUAAAACUGUUUAACUAGAGUGCAGGAGAGGUAGGUGGAAUUCCUAGUGUAGCGGUGAAAUGCGUAGAGAUUAGGAAGAACACCAGUGGCGAAGGCGACUUACUGGACUGUAACUGACGCUGAGGCAUGAGAGCAUGGGGAGCAAACAGGGUUAGAUACCCUGGUAGUCCAUGCUGUAAACGAUGGGUACUAGGUGUGGGUUGUGAAUAACA